ACCUCAAAUCGGGUGAGACUCCCC
rnacentral:rRNA from 1 species